UGUUACAGAAAUAACAUCAUGACGGAAUUGCUUCUUCUUAGUUAGGUAGCAAAUUCUUCUUCUGUCGACUAAUUUAUCUCUUUUACUACGAAUUUUCUACCCCAGGAAUAGAUUAUCUUUGCUGUAUUUUGGGUCCUCAAUGCUCUUCAACUUCGUACUUUAUUUUGCCUUUUUAACUAUUUUGAUCAGAGUGUCACUGAUAAGUUUUUUGCAGACGAAACGAGCGUCUCGCGUGCAAAAUUUCUAAUGCUGGUAUUUAUGAUGAGUUUAUUAACAACUUCUGGGUCGAAGCCACUGCUGAUUGGAGUUUCCUCCCCGUAGGUAUCACUAGCCCAUUAGUCAGCACUUCUGCGUUGACAUGAAUUAGGAUCAUUGAUAUGGUCAUAAUUAUAAAUUAACUGUUUACCUAUUUAUGCAUUUUUCGAAAUACUAAGGAUUUUCUACCCCAGGAAUAGAUAACCUGAGCUGUAUCUUGUAGUUUAUUUCUUACAGUUGAUACAGCACUAACACAAUUAUAUAAAUUGUUGAAAAUGUAUAUUCGGAAAACUUCUAGCUGUAGAAUUUCCAGUUAUAGUAUUUUUUAAUAAAUUACGUUAAAGGAUUUUCCCAACAUGUGAGCAAUAUAGGCACGCCUACAUAUUAAAAUUGACAGGAUGUAACCAACAAAUAAGUGUAUAUAAAUAUAGGUUCAAAAGUGUUUAUGUAUUGUGUCAUUGAUUCAUAUAGAGACAAGCUGAGCGACUGACAUCAAAUACAAGGAACUGACUAAGAUACCAUAGUAAGCUUAUUGCAUACAUAAAAGACAAUGAAGCUUUACCAGAAAGUCGUUGCUUUAAUUGUGAUUUUUGCCUUCUGUGGUGAUGUUGGCAAUCUGAUAAAUUCGGUAUGGACUGGACAAGAAAUGAUAUCACAAAACUCCGCUCUCUUGUUGCCUGGAGCCCAUGCAAUUUGGGGACAUGUGGCAAGGACAGUGGUAAGGGGUUUGUCAAGAAGAGGAAGGAAAAAAGGAGGUAGCGAACAUACAAAAGGCAAGAGACCGAGCACCAAAGGCAAACAUCAGAAAGGACAAAGCAGAAAGCAAAAAGACCAAGACCGGGCAGGUGGAAAGAAACAAAAAGGUGGAAAAGAUGGAAGUAGGAAGAGAGGAUAAAAAUAAGAUAUUAUUUUGUUACAUGUGUUAUUCCCUUCUUUAUAAAGGAUUAACACAGUGUUUAGGUGACUGUUCUAGAGAUCAACUUGUACGAUUGCGAUUUCAACGUAAACUGUAUAUUUUUUUCGCGAUCAAUGACAAUCAAACCACAUCCUUAUUUUUGUUACAAACACAUAUAUAUAUAUAUAAUAAAAACUAUAACACAA